GUGCUCACUUUGGCAGUAUGUAGGCUAAAAUUGGAAUUACACAGAGAAGAUGAAUAUGGCCCCUGAGCACGGAUGACACACAAAUUUGUGAAGCGUUCAAUAUUAAA
ensembl:snRNA U6 U6 spliceosomal RNA